rnacentral:misc_RNA from 1 species
GAUGAAGAACGCAGCGAAAUGCGAUACGUAAUGUGAAUUGCAGAAUUCAGUGAAUCAUCGAAUCUUUGAACGCAUAUUGCGCUCCCUGGUAUUCCGGAGAGCAUGCUUGUUUGAGUAUCAGUAAACACCUCAACUUCCAUAUCUUUUUUGAAAUGGGAGUUGGACUUGAGUGAUCCCAACGCUUUUCCUCACCGAAAAGUGGCGGGUUACUUGAAAUGCAGGUGCAGCUGGACUUUUCUCUGAGCUAUAAGCAUAUCUAUUUAGUCUGCCUAAAAAACAGAUUAUUACCUUUGCUGCAGCUAACAUAAAGGAGAUUAGUUCUUGUGCUGACUGAUGCAGGAUUCACAAAGACAGGCUUCGGCCGACUUUGUAAACUCGAUCUCAAAUCAAGUAAGACUACCCGCUGAACUUAAGCAUAUCAAUAAGCGGAGGA